ensembl:lncRNA
UCUCACUGCAGUGUUAGACUGGAGGUUAUCCUGGGAUCUCACUGCAGUGUUAGACUGGAGGUUAUGCUGGGAUCUCACUGCAGUGUUAGACUGGAGGUUAUCCUGGGAUCUCACUGCAGUGUUAGACUGGAGGUUAUCCUGGGAUCUCACUGCAGUGUUAGACUGGAGGUUAUCCUGGGAUCUCACUGCAGUGUUAGACUGGAGGUUAUCCUGGGGGCCCAGGGGUGGGAUCUCUCUGUUCCACACCCAUCCAGGUAUUUACAGUGUGGGUUAAAGAUGAACUAGAAGACAGGGUUAGCCGGAGGGUCCUUUAAAUGGCAUAUUAGUUAAUAAUCUCUUAAAUGCUGGAGAUUGAAAACUACCUGACAGAAUGGUAACAGAAAGAAUGAUUAGUGGUGAAAGGUUACAAAAUAGAGACUAGCUUUACACUGACAUAGAGACUAGCAUUA